rnacentral:rRNA from 1 species
AGCAGCCGCGGUAAUUCCAGCUCCAAUAGCGUAUAUUAAAGUUGUUGCAGUUAAAAAGCUCGUAGUUGAAUUUCGGGACUAAUAUGUCGGUCGUGCCUCGGUACGCACUGGCUUAUUGGUUUCUCCUUCCUGAAGAACCAUGAUGUCAUUUAUUUGGUGUCGUGGGGAAUCAGGACUGUUACUUUGAAAAAAUUAGAGUGUUUAAAGCAGGCUCACGCUUGAAUACAUUAGCAUGGAAUAAUGAAAUAGGACGUUUGAUUCUAUUUUGUUGGUUUCUAGGAUCGACGUAAUGAUUAAUAGGGAUAGUUGGGGGCAUUAGUAUUCAAUUGUCAGAGGUGAAAUUCUUGGAUUUAUUGAAGACUAACUACUGCGAAAGCAUUUGCCAAGGAUGUUUUCAUUAAUCAAGAACGAAAGUUAGGGGAUCGAAGACGAUCAGAUACCGUCGUAGUCUUAACCAUAAACUAUGCCGACUAGGGAUCGGAUGAUGUUAAUUUUUUUAAUGACUCAUUCGGCGCCUUAC